rnacentral:rRNA from 1 species
GCAUAAUCACUUGCCCAUUAAUUGUGGGCUAGAAUGAAUGGAAAAACGAAGUAAUAGCUGUCUCUAGUAGUAACAUAAAAACUAAUCUCUCAGUGAAGAAGCUGAGAUACAAUCACAGGACAAGAAGACCCUAUAGAGCUUUAUUUUUAAUACAUAAACUCAAUGUAAAAAAAUUCAGUUGGGGCGACUAAGGAAAAAUCAUCCUAAAUAACAAUAGACAAACAAGUCACUCAAAAGAUCCUAAUUUUUAGAUCAAAGAAAUUAGCUACCUUAGGGAUAACAGGCUAAUCCUCCUGGAAAGUCCAAAUUUAUAGGAGGGG